rnacentral:rRNA from 1 species
UACGUAGGGGGCAAGCGUUGUCCGGAAUCAUUGGGCGUAAAGCGCGUGUAGGCGGUUCGGUAAGUCCGCUGUGAAAGUCAAGGGCUCAACCCUUGGAUGCCGGUGGAUACUGCAGGGCUAGAGUCCGGAAGAGGAGAGUGGAAUUCCUGGUGUAGCGGUGAAAUGCGCAGAUAUCAGGAAGAACACCCGUGGCGAAGGCGGCUCUCUGGGACGGUACUGACGCUGAGACGCGAAAGCGUGGGGAGCGAACAGGG